rnacentral:rRNA from 1 species
UGCGCAGGCGGAACUUUAAGUCAGUGGUGAAAUCUUGCCGCUUAACGGUAAAAUUGCCAUUGAUACUGAAGUUCUUGAAUAUGGUUGAGGUAGGCGGGAUGUGUUGUGUAGCGGUGAAAUGCAUAGAUAUGACACAGAACGCCGAUUGCGAAGGCAGCUUACUAAGCCAUAAUUGACGCUGAGGCACGAAAGCGUGGGGAGCGAACAGGAUUAGAUACCCUGGUAGUCC